UCAUAGGACUUCUUAGGUUUCUUGAAAAGGC
rnacentral:piRNA from 1 species